GCAACACGAUGAAGUUAUGUCAAUAAAGAAGCAGAAAGAAGGAAUGAAAAGGAACAGUCUGGCAGAAUGGAGACCAGGACGGGAAUAGGCACAUUGAUCACCUCAGCAAACCGCUCAGAGAAGCUCUUACAGAAAGUUUCUGGAAAUGGCACUCUGGAGCUGGAGAGAAGCUCAAGCUGAGAGAAGUGGACCCGUGCACACAACUGCCCCUCGCUGAUUGCUUAGGAAGACGAUGACGAAGAACGCGUGGCAGGGUAAGAGCUGCAACCUUGACUAGGCUGGGAACAGGUACGUGAGCAAUCAGCUGGUGUGCUGUGAAGUACCUUUGAAGGUAAAGUCAUGGUGGAAAUCAAAGCAACCUGAAAAGGAACCUGGUGGGGAGGUUGCCCUAGAACACUUCAAAGCAGUGUCUCUGAUUUAGACAUGUUGCCUCCUACGAGUUAGACAGAAGAAAAGGUGUUCUGGAGUCUCUUGUAGUGGGAGGAACGGAACCGACCUGCACUGAAAUCUCACAGAGCUUUAAACCUCCGUGUUGAUACAUACUGACUUUUGCUUUAAUCUGCUGAUGUCUUUCCUCCCUUUUAUUCUUCACUUAUUUAUUUAUUUAUUUUUAUUUUUUUUCAGUUUUAGACCUGUCUUGGGGAGUUCUCUUAAAGCUUGUUUUUAGCUGUCCAAAACUUGUGGGAAAGGCAAACAAGGAGCCUGAUUUCUCACAAAAAGAGCUAUGGUGAAAGAAGUGAAGUUAGCAGGAAGCUGACACGACAGAAAACAUGGAAGGCUGUGGGUUUUUUUUCCCCCGCCUUACAGAAAACUCCCUGUGACAGGAUGUCAUGGUCUAAAAUGUAACUAUGCAGAAAAAGAGAUUUAUCAUAAGCAUGCCAGUUGGGAGGUUAAUAUAAUAAUGACCUGGCUGUAGCUUAUGGUGUAGAUGCCCUUAAACCACAGAGUGCUGGAAGCUUAGGUGGGUAACUUGCAAGAAGCAACCCUCUGUAUAUUUGAUGUUUUUAUAACCUUUAUUGUAUGUUUUGUAUUGUUAAUGUUAGGUUUAUGUUAUUGUAUACCCAUUACCUAAUCAUCUUGUUCUGGGUGAAGGGACAUCAGAUUAAAGACGCCUAUGGCAUAGGCUCUUCAUGCUUGGAUUCCCCUCCUUGGGCUCUGCUUUGCAGAAGCCUUACAAAACUGAGCGACUGUUUCGUGGUCUGAUUGAGACUUGAGCUCCCCGUGCCUCAGAGCUUGCUGCUCCCAAGUUCUGCCAGGGAUGAGCUGGAAGGAGGGCGAUGUGAUGACUGAACCUCAAAGGUUCCUCACUGGGCCCCUUCCCCAGAGAUGUCUUCGGUCUGCUCUGGUGUUUUCAUCCCUCUAUGGCAUCUCCCCUGUCCACCUCCCGAGGUCAGCAUUGACCCUCCUGAGCAGCUCCUGCCUUUCUGCCUGUCUAAACUGAGCCAAGAGCAGGACUUUUAGGGGCUAAACAAGCAGUGCGGAAUAAUAAGGGGUGAACUUAUACCAAACCCAUAUAAAUCACAUUGAAAUUUAAUUAAAUAUCUUCCCAGGAUCUUUUGAACUGUUGAACCAAGUUGGCUGAAAAGGCAUCUUUCUCUGAAUCUCUACAACACAAACAUUUGAUACUUUGAAGUAGAAAAAGAAACAUUUCUGAGUGAAGUGUUGGAGUUAACAAAAGAUUUCCUUUCAUACAAGCUAUCGCUAGCCCUGCAGCUUAUGUGCAAGCUGCGCUGUGAGUUGAAGUGAUGGUGUUGGCAUGCCCAAAAGGCAUUAUCCUGUCUGACCGAGAUCUUCCAGCCACCAGCCUCUACGUAACACAGCCUCUGAGCGCAGAUCCUCUUGUGGACAGCUGCAGGGAAGUCCCUGUCUGGCUGCCCUGGCUGCCUACGCCAACCACAGUGAACACAGGAGGUUUAUAAUCAUUGUCUCUGGAGGGUGAUUUGUACUGGAAACCACGAGCUCAGUUUCCUUCUGUGCUCGCUGCUGACACACUUUUUGUAGAGAAAGCGAUGCAACCCAGCUGGCCCUGCCUCCAUCUGGUACUUAGCCUGGUAGGUUUCCCAUGUAGCCCUUCCCCUCUUCUUUUUAAAGGUUGUUCCUGAAAGAGGAUAAACCCCACCAAAACAAAAUAGGGAAAUAUAUUAAGAAUCAAAACCAUGAGAAAUAGGAAUUGCCACCAAAGAGUAGUGUUCUGCACUUUCCCUCCUCCCUCAGGUUGUUUUUUUGGGGGGCUGAUGUGGCUCAUGAAGCAGCCAGUAGUGGGGUGGGAAGACAGGAGAAUACGGUCGACCCUUUUGGUGACAGAACUGAUCUAUUUCUUUACUGAAAGGGCUGUUAGACAUUGGAACGGGCUGCCCACGGAAGUGGUGGAGUCACCAUCCCUGGAGAUCUUUAAAAGACAUUUAGAUGUAGAGCUUAGUGAUAUGGUUUAUUGGAGGACUUGUUAGUGUUAGGUCAGAGGUUGGACUCGAUGAUCUUGAGGUCUCUUCCAACCUAGAAAUUCUGUGAUUCUGUGAUUCUGUAAUAGAUAAGCUCAGCCUGCUUCACAUCAAGAGGAGGUAAAAAUCCAAUGCCUAAAACCUGGCAAAGUGGGAACUUUAUUACCCUGGCUGUUGGAAUUCCAGCGUGUGCCCUUGUCAUUUCAGUUUUAUAGCUUUAUUCUGCCCUUGCUUCCAGUUCUCAUUCCUGAGCAUCAGUUUCCUCCCCCUGAACUGAGGGACAGGCGGCGGUUUUCUUGCUGAUCUGGAGUUCAGCAGGCAGUGGUGGUCACAGAUGGGACUGGCCACCCCCGCGGUGGGACAGCAGGUUCGGGUCAGGCAACCACAACGGGAACUGCGUCGCUGUAGGAUGGCUGUGGACACUGCAGAUUUGUGGAGAGCUCUCAGAAAUUUCAGCAGCUUGCAUCCUUGUGAUUUCUUCUCAUACUUGCUGCUGAGCCUUAAAUCCCACAGAUACAAUCUUCUGGUAGCGUUUUGCCCUUUUUCUGUGGUGGGUGGAAGUGUAAAAAUAUUGGGGUUAGCGCUUGAGGGGAUAGAGACAGAGAGAGAGACAUAUCUUGCCCUUAAAGAUCUUCGUUGUUACAUUUUAAACAAAAUUUUACUUGAAUUUUGUGUGAUGUGGGAGUUUGGCACAGAGUCAGCUUUAUCUGCCUGAUCCCUCAUCACCCAACUUGACAGCAAACACUCAGAGGAAGAUGGCACUUAGUAGAAAGUCUUCCUGAGCAUGUCAAGUUUUCUACUGCAAAGCUGCUUUCUCUUUCCAUGGCACCAGUGCUAUGCAACUUACACUGGGGAGAGGGGCUUCUUUCACGCUGAGGCAAGUCAGAAGUGGAAGCCAUUGAAACACAAGGCGGAUUUCUGUAGUAUUUGUAUUGCCGUGCCAGUGUCAACAAAGACCAGGGUAUGGCAGUGCUGGCUGUGGUCCAAAUUUGUAGGUCAAGUUGGGUUUUCUGCACCAUUUGGGAGCUGCAGCUGCAAGUGUCUAAGACAGGUGAGGUAUCUUGCCGUGUGGAGAUGCUGGCACCUUUCCACGGGUUAUAGCAGAACCCUCUGCUCCUAUGCAAGGUAGGUACCCACCUUUUAAAUGGCUAAAGACAGACAAGACACCUCCCAGCCCACGGGGUGUGAAGCCUCAGCAGAAUUUACAGCUCUGGGAUGUGAUUUAAUGUAAUAUUUUGCUGGAGGCAGGUUUCUGCGCUCUGUGUGAGGAGGAGCCAUCUCUGUAUCUCAGUUACUUAAUCCUGUUAAUAGAAAUAGAGAACUUUUGUUGCGAUGGCACCGAGCUACCUCCAGCUGGCAUUAAAAGCUGCCAUCCUGGCAGACAGACAAGCCCGGGGCUCCCGAAAUUAACUCAAUCAGGUGAAUCAAUACACUGAUCCCAGCUGCGUCAGGCAGGAGAUUCGACUACUGCCCUACUGCCCUGUCAAUACCUGCGGACACAUUAAAUUGAUUCCUUCCAGCCUUUCUUUUAUAACUUGUCUUUAUAGGAUUGUCAGUGGGUUGUUGCUAGUAUGAUGCUUUUUUUUUUUUUCUUUAACAGACUCCAAAGACCAAAGUAUCUAACUAAUAUGACUUGUUAAGUAAAGUCAUAGUCAACAAGCAUAAAAUUGUACACAGCCAUCCAAAAAAAGAAUGCAAUUUGACAUGUAUUUUAAGUCGUAACUAUCAAUAACCAACUUGUUUACAGCAAACAAACCAGCAGAGCAGUUUAUAACCUUAAGAAAACUUCACAGAAUAUUUUUUAUUUUUAUUUUUUUACGCCUUUGCCUCAGCAAACUGUUCUAGGAGCUCAGCUGAACUGUCGUUAUUAACUUGCCCCAAAUUGCUGAGACUAACCCACAGCACCCUGACUAUCUGGUAUAUUUUUAUACUAAAAUGUGUCCUGUAAAAAAUCACCAGCUUAGUACAAGUCCAGAGCAUUCACGGUUUGCAGCUUGGCGUAGAGACAAAGUGUUCUAGGCGUACGUGGGUACUGGCUGGCGAAGGCAGCGUCUCGCGGGCAGCAUCCUCUCCCUCGAGGAGUUACGUGGAUUUAGAGCUUCAUUUGCUUUUGCAUGUGGAAUUACACAUCGGGCUAUAAAGUCGAUGAAAUAAUUCUGUUUGAGCGUUAACUUAGCAGAACGAAAUCUUGUUUUAUCGAGGAUAUAUUUGUAUGUUUUAAACAAUGCUGCUUUUUCCUAAUAAAAAACAGUGUUACUAUUCAAAAGUGGAAAAUGGCAUUAUUAUUCACAGUGAAAAAUGUCAUUGUUGUGCUGAUAACUGUUGACAGGUACUUGUCAUGGUUUUGUGCUAUGAUGUGCUAAUUAUUCUGAAGUUCAAUCAGAUGGCAUUUUGUGUUUUCAUUUCAACUGUAACAACACAGUACUUGUGACAUGUUGACAAGCACGUGUUUAAUUGCUCCGUGGUUAUCUUCCAAGCUCAUGUGUUUUCCACUUAGUUUGUGAAGAAAGUUGCAUAAUUACCUCCGAGGCUACAGGGUAUGUUGCUCAUUAUUUUAUUUUCAUUUUCGCUUUGGUGAUAAACACAGAAUGGUGACAGAUGUGAAAGCCCAUCUUUGAUGCUGAACGCUACCUCAACUGGACUGCGAAGGUGGAGACUCAUGGUUGGUCCUGCAAAUCAAAGGCAUGAAGCACCCAUGGUGAGACCCUGUCCUUCUCCUCAACUUCUCUUUGCCUCACUUCCCACUACAGAUUAGACGUUUAAGAGGUCACCUAACAUGUAUCUGGGACAGACUUUAUUGUUGGUACCGCUCCAGAUUAUGUCUGUUGUCCUAGGUGUAACUAGGAGAUCAGGAUAGGUGCUUGCCCAUGGGUGUCUGAGCUGUCAGUCUGCGGCCAUAGGCUCAGACUCAGUGGCUGAGGCACUGCUGUCUGGUCCUGCCUCUUAUGGACUUGCUGUUAUUUGCAGUAAUUCCAGUUUCCACUGAGGCUGAAAGCUGCCAUAUUGAAUCCUAGCAAGGAGAACUUUGAGUUAACCUACUAACCAGAGAGAGGUUUGGGAGGAAAAGUCAUCACCAUCUUUUCUUCUUUCUCCUUUGCAAGGGCAUACUUCAGUUGCUUCUCCAAAUCAGGCAGAAGGUUCUUAGGAGGUUGUUGGGUUCAUAAAGACAUUUACAUAUGGAUUAGGUUGACAUCAAUCAGGAUUCAUUACAUUCAGUUGUACAGGAGCAUUAAUUGUGACACUUUUUUUCUGAAAUACAUUAUAUGGAUUGUUUUACAGACAGAGCCAUUAAUCUGUCUCCUCAGUUAGAAAAUAGUUUAAGUAUAAAUUAGGUGGAGUUUUUGCUUGCUGCAUGGUUAACGGAGCCAAAGUCAGCCCAUCAGACCCAGGAGUAUUGAGACUCCCAGACACAAGACCAUCCCAAAGACCCAAGACCACUUUGCAGCCCAGCUUGCUUUUAUCCUUUCAGAAACUGUCUAGAUCAGAAGCACAGACGUCCCUCACAAAGUGAUUCAUACUUGCUGAGAACCUAUGUGACAGGGAGAAAUGAUGAGCUGGUGAUAAAAAUCAUUACCUUGACCUUUCCUACUUUAUCUGGAAGAACCAGGUACGUAGUUGGGACUCAGCAGAUUUCCUUCUGCUCUCCUUGCCAGUGCUGUCAGCCCCGUUGGCUUGGCUAUCUGCUCUCUGGGUUCAUCCUGCCUGUCCAUCACAGUGCUGCCUCAGCACGCACCGCCACAAGUAGGCUUAAUGCUGACGGCUUGAAGGGGAGGGAGGUUAGGUCUGACAAUGUUCAGGUGAGAGCAGAAGUUUGUGCUUCUUCUGUGGUGUUCAGUGAUUGAGCGUUGACAAUUUUAAUGCUCAAGGACAGUUCUGUCUCAUUAAUUCUCUCUGUGUUUAGAAUUCAGAACAGCCAAAGUGUUUGAAAGACCAGUCAAUCAAGCUGUCGUCUUCUCCCUCUUCACCUUUACAUUUAUAGUUCCCAGCCUUUCCUUGGCUAAACCUCUUAUGCUCCAACCUGGGAAGAAAAGCAGGGGCUCCUCAGAAAGGGACAAACUCUGGGACUAAAUUUCAGUAUGCCUUCGCUGAACCUUGAGCUGGGGGAGGAAAGGAUCUGCCACUGGAGUUACAGGCUUGUGCAACACCACAAUUAGAUUGACAAGAUGCUCCAGCAACAAGUAUGCAUCCAAAGUUUAAUAUUUAUAGCCUAAAAAAAUUGUAGAGGGAACAAAUUAAUUAAAAAUGCAACAAAGAAGAAUUCAGAUGUAUUUCUCCUUUCUUUCUUUGCUAAUACAAAGACCAGCCCCUGUGGUAUGACAGAUACCCUUAUCUAAGCCUUCUGCUUUUCUCUUGAAAUGACCCUAAAGUUAUUCUGUUCUG